CUAUACUUAAACUUCAUGUCUUGUUUUCUACCUAUUAAUGUUUGUAGGCAGAACUGAAUCAAGCUAUUGCAAUGAUAUCAUACUAUGCGUCUUCCUCAGAACCAGCUCAGGUACGAGGGAAAACUGUCUACCUACAGUAUUCCAACAGACAAGAGAUAGUGAACAACAAAACUACUGCCGAUGUAGCUGGAAAUGUAUUGUUGGUAACAAUUGAGGGAGAUGACGCACGCCUUGUCAGUAUUGAUGUUCUACACUUGGUAAGUAAUUAUAUUACUUCCCCACAUAUUUGUUUGGUGGAUGGCAAACCUUCUUCAUAGAAAGGUUUUCUACGUAGUUUUGGUAUUAGGUUAUGGUAUGUCUUGCUUUGUUGAGUGCUCUUUGACAUGAAUAUGAAUGGAUCAGCAGGCCAAUGUCAAGGAUAUAUCUGCAAUGGCAGCUUAUUGCAUCGGGAGAAAGAGCACAUGUGUGUUUGUUUCCUUUCUCCUUUGCUUAACACUGGCUCUUUCUCACCCCUUCUUUUAAUUUUAUUAUCUCAACUUCCCUUGGAGUGUCAGAUAUUUAUCUUUUCUUUUUCUUUUGAAAAUUGGCACUCUCUCUUUGGCAUGUGCACGGCGUUUGCUGCUACAUCUUGUCACCUGAAGCAAAAUUGUUGCUUGUGCGUCUGGCAUUUGUUAGUGGAUGCAGCAUUUCAGUGUUCUGUUAUAGUGUGUUUGUCUCUUCCAAUUUAAAAUAACUCAAAUUUUAGUGUUGUGUCUGUCCUUGGUCAUUUAGUUGCCUAAACCCUCUUUUUCCGUUACUUGUUUGUGUUGAUCUUUCCCUAAAUCUAUCUUUUAAUGUAAAUAGCUUAUUAAAUACUUUAAAUAUUUCUCUAUCUCCUCGCUUCUUGUUUGGUAUUAUUGGAAUGUUCAUAGAGAAGAUUUUUUUUAAAAAAGACAUCUUCAUGGAAUGGGAUAGAUGUAGAUCAGGUCACUUAUCACUGCUGAAGACCCCAGCAAUAAUGAUCGUCAGUUGACUACGCCUCAUUUAUUCUCACUAAGUCAAGCCGUAGGCUUUAUUGAAAGAGACACUAAAUCAACUCCGUUGCUAUAGUGAAAGAUUGAUGAAUGUUCUGAAUAUCUGAAUGGCUGAAGUUAUUAUGUUAAUUUGAUCAUGCAGUCUCCUGUGGUCUGGUAGUUUUGGUUCCAUCAGAUUCAGUAGAUGAGAGGAGCGGUAUUUUUUUCAAUUUUUCACAAAAAGUACUUUUUACUUUUGAGAUUUUCUUUAGGUCAACAUAUAGGUUUCAUAUCUGAAAGGGAGAUUCUUCACUGAUAUCUUUAAGAGAGAAGAUAUAAUUGAUAAUCAUUUGAAACUAGGUGGAUUUUUUGUUGUCUUGUACUUUUUUAUUCAAGAACAAUGAUUGAAAUUGCAAAAUAACAUCUAAGAAGUUCCCAAAUUAUUUCAUUUUUACCUUCAAUUGAUUUUUUCUACUCAAAAUCCUAUUUUUUCAGGUGUUCUCAGCUUUUGGAUUUGUUCAUAAGAUUACUACAUUUGAGAAAACUGCUGGAUUCCAGGUCAGUAUGUUACAGAAGUUGGAUUCUAUCAACUUUGAUUGGUCUUAUUUAUGUCUCUAGAACACUGAUUCAGCUGACAAGUCCACCACUCUUACUUGGGACCCUUUUCAGGCUCUAGUGCAAUUUUCUGAUGCAGAAACUGCCACUUCUGCAAAAGAUGCCCUUGAUGGAAGAAGCAUUCCCAGGUGAUUGUGGAUUUAUAUUUCAGAUUGGGAUGUAGCCCAACUGUUAUGGAUCAUUUACUGUAGAUGUGGUGCACAUACAUUGGGGCUCGACAUCUUUGAAGAUCUUUUUUAAGAAUCUACCGAAGGGGUACACGCAUGUUCCUUGACCAUUCCAUAUCUCAUUUUAUGUUUGCAUAAUGCUCCUCAGGUUCAUUGUAAUUUUAGUGAUAUGGCCUGUGUUGAAGGGGAGCUUUGGAGCAACGUUAAAGUGGUUUUCGUGUGACCUAUAGGUCACGGGUUCAAGCAGUAGAAGCAGCCACUUAUAUUUGCAUUAGUGUAGGCUGUCUAUAUCACACCCUUGGGAUGCGGCCCUUCUCCGUACAUGCCAGAGAGAAAAGGCUAGAACUUAUGCUUUGACUUGAUUGAUAGCUCUUUUCUCCUCCGUAAAUGUGGGAUGCUUUGUGCACCGGUUUGCCCUUUUUUAUGGCUGCUGUACUGCUAGAAAAAUGUAGUUUUAAAUGUUGCUGUAGAACCUAUUCAUAACUAGUACCCGUGUGCUUGCAUCUUCUAGCUUAAGAAAUAUUAGCUGAUCCUGGUUAAAAGGUGCUGGCCAGAAGAGACUUCUGCUUAGACUUGCUGUCAGCCAGCUGUUUCGAUGUGCAUAUGCUCAAAGACUACUAUGAUAGUAUUUAAAAAAAAAAUACUGCUCUGUCUUUAUACCCAUCAUCGGCUAUUCAGUAUCACUACAUGCUAGUCCUUUUUUUUUUUGUGUAUUUGAGAGUGGCUAUUGACCUAUAUUGUUUUUCUCUUCUGCCUUAGGUAUUUGAUUCCAGAACUGGGACCUUGCUCCCUCAAAAUAACAUAUUCUGCACAUACUGAUCUUAGUGUGAAGUUUCAGAGUCAUCGUAGCAGGUAGAACUGAUCUCUCUCACUCACUCUCACUCUCUCUCGCCCUCUCUCUCCUACUCUCUCUCUCUCUCUCUCUCUCUCUCUCUCUCUCUUUCACACACACCCUUUUUUUGCUAAACAUACAUUCCUGAUAAAUAGUUUGUUCUAUUUUGGGAAAAAUAGGUGUACAUAUUGCAUUUUAUUAGCCUUCAUCACUAAUACUCAUUUUAUUUCCUAUUCUUUGGGAGUCUAAUGAUUACUUUUAUCCUCUCUUUAAUAAUCAUUUCAUAUGGUUUUGAUUUAGGGAUUACACAAAUCCUCUCCUUCCCGUUGCACCCUCAGCCAUUGAUGCAAGUGGCCAGGUAAUCAAUUUGUCACAACUCUUAGUGUGGUCAUUAGUUGCAAGGGAGGAUGUGUUAGGAUUCUAAUUUGUGUCUUCCUUCUUUCUUGUUAGUGUAUUCUGGAUUUUCCUUUUUGAUAAGUCAAAAGCUUCAUUAACUAACAUGGAAUCAGUAUUAAAAAAUAUGUACGAAGUAAGCAUGUGGCUUAGUCAUCUUCAUCUAACAAAUUUGCCCAUGUAUGUAUGGCAAGAUAUACUCCCUCUACACAAAAGGUACUAGCGUUUCAGAAAAGAAUACACUUUCAUGUUGUAUUUUGCAAAUUUGGGGGCUGCUUUAAGUUGAUGCAUCUUUCCUGGAGAUUAUGAUUUAACUGGUAGAGUAUAGCAGUUUGUGUGCUUAUCUUUGUAUGGUUGGUCCAUGUAUGUUUCUGUGCUUAGGGUGCAUCUGCAGUUGGUUGAUGAAAUGCUGGUUUCUUUCCUUUCUUUGAAAUUUCUUCCAUUCACGUUUCAGAUCGGUGUGGGUUUAGAUGGGAAGAAAUUGGAGCCUGAGAGUAAUGUUCUUCUUGCUUCCAUUGAGAACAUGCAGUAUGCUGUAACCUUGGAUGUCCUACACAUGGUACCCUACUUCAGUUGCAAGAUAGUUUCUGUACAUUCUCUUUCGGCCUUAAUCCUGAGUUACUUAUUGCUUUAUCUGUUUCCCUUCAUGUGUGGAAUUCAGGUUUUUUCAGCUUUCGGCCCUGUGUUAAAGAUUGCAAUGUUUGAUAAGAAUGGUGGGGUUCAGGCUUUAAUCCCGAGUUACUUAUUGCUUUAUCUGUUUCCUUGAUGUGUGGGGUUCAGGUAUUUUCAGCUUUCGGCCCUGUGCUAAAGAUUGCAAUGUUUGAUAAGAAUGGCGGGGUUCAGGCUCUAAUACAAUAUCCAGGUCAGAUGAAAAUUUCUAUUUUCGUCAAACUGCAUUUUCCACUAAAAAGUCAGUAGUUGCUUGUUUUGAUGAUUCAAAAUAUUUCUAGCAAAGAGGCCAAGGAUGGUUCUCAGCUGUAUUUGCAUAGGGAAUUCGGCAAUGAAGUUAUAGUCUUUUGUUUUUGUUAGUGUCUAGAUAUAUUGAUUGAAGAAACUUAGUGGUUAUUGUACUUGUAUCUGACCUAAACCGUCGAUUAUUAGUCUAGAUAUAUUGAUUGAAGAAACAUAGUGGUUAUUGUACUUGUAUCUGACCUAAACCCUGGAUUGUUACCCCCUUGAAAUUGGUCACCUUGUAUUGGUUUUGUAUAACUGGAACUAAUCUGGUUACUCAGUACUAAGAGUGCUUGUAUGCUGAACGAUAGAAUCAAUGCAAUGUGUUUGCAGAUGUGCAGACAGCAGUUGUUGCAAAGGAAGCUCUGGAAGGACAUUCCAUAUAUGAAGGAGGAUUUUGUAAGCUUCAUAUCUCCUCCUCUCGCCACACUGAUCUCAGUAUUAAGGUAAAAAGGGUCAUAAAGCGCUUUAUUUGCUAAAGAUACUGGGAGUAAUUUGUAACAUACUACAGUUUUAGCGUCAGCCAUCUCUUUAUGUUUUUUGCCUAUUUGGAACAAUUUGUCUACAAAAUCACGUGUUUUCCUGGUCUGAUAUCAGGUAAAUAAUGAUCGGAGCAGAGAUUAUACAAUCCCGAAUGUCCCUAUACUAAACUCUCAACCCUCGGUUUUGGGGCAGCAACCACAUCCAGUAGGAGGUCCAGGUGUUCAUCCAUACAAUGGGCCAACACAAUAUGCCCCAGCUCCACAAGGUCAUGCUGCACCUCAGCAUUCAGCUGGCUGGAACUCACCUGUUGGGGCUGCACCUCAACAAAUACCGAUGCAGAUGCAUAAUCACCCUUACUCUAUGCCUGCAAGUGGGCCGCCUCAGAUGGGUCAUGGGAUGCCUCCAAUGCAUGGACAGAACAGCCUACCACAUUCUGCCGGAAUGCCUCCAUAUCAUCCAGGGACUGCACCUCAACAAAUACCGAUGCAGAUGCACAAUCACCCUUACUCUAUACCUGCAAGUGGGCCGCCUCAGAUGGGUCAUGGGAUGCCUCCAAUGCAUGGACAGAACGGCCUACCACAUUCUGCCGGAAUGCCUCCAUAUCAUCCACGAUAGCACUAGUGAGAACCCCAAACUUAUAUAGACCAGGAUUACAUUUUGUUGAAGCGAGAUGCCAAAAUGUUGAAUACUUUGGUCCAGACUGCAUUUCUUUGUUCUUCGUUUUCUGUCUCCCUCUCUAUAUCUUAUUCCCUUUUUCUUUUGGGUGUCAUUGGAAGGUUUCUAAACCACUUAUUAGGCAUCCGCUGUUAUGAAGAGACUUCAUUGACCUGUAGUGCAAAUCGUUUUUAAUUGUCUUUUCAUAUCAAUUAUUAUACUAUUGUCGUAGCAUUCGGUUUCAGUGUGCUUUGAAAUAUUUGUACUGCAGCUUGAUUGAUUGAUUGAAAAUACUUGUUGUGAUUGCUUUCUAUAACUUAGAAAACACACAUUGCACCCUCUGGUUGAACAUAAAAUAACCCAUCCCACUCUUUAUUUUAUCCAACCGACCCAACCUAAUAACUCCCCCCACUCUAGCCCCUCUCACCUGAGUAAAUUUGAGUAAGCUUUACAAUUAUGUGAGACAAAAAAUAACCCAUCCCACUAUGAAGAUGGAUUUAACGGUUGAGGGAUAAUUUGAAUCCCAAACAAUAAUAUAGUUUAAUUUUUUAUAGUAGAGCGCACAUAUCACCAUUUUCCGUUUAUUUUAACAUCCUCUUACAUCGAACAAACAUUUCCUCAAAAUAAUUUUUUUUUAUAAAAUAGUUACUAAAUAAAUUGACCCAAAAAAUUAGGGGAUAUAUUUAAGAUAUUAUAUGGGUCAGAAUCUGACCUCCUGAUCAUUACCGAAAUUAAUUAUAUCUUAAGCUAAUUUUUGGCUAAUAAGUGGUAUGAUCACUUAUUAGUCACGAUUCCCGAUGGUUACCCAGUUCGAUCAACAAGGCCGCGGCCCAUCCGUCGUCACAAGGACGGAACCUCAAAGUGGCCACGACCAUUCUUCACCAGUUCAUACAGCUUGUAGCUAUAAAUACUAAGAGAAAUAACCCUAAAUAGGAGCUGUUGCUUCUUCUUCAUCACUACUCUCAAGAAAAGAGAUAACAUCAUUGUAAGGCUCUGAGCCUCUCCACUGCGAGGCAGACCAAACCAAUACUAUCAAUAAAAGUUCUCUAUACAUUUCUCCUUAAUGAAUAACACUUACUUCUCAUUUCUUUCAUUUGGUUGCUUGACUUAUUACGAUCUGCUAUAAUUGGCCCUCAAUUUAUUUUGUUAUUUUAUACUUGCAAAGUAUAUGAUAACUUUGAGCUAAACAGAUAUUUUUAAAUCUGAGGAACUAUUGGUAUAAACCAAUUUCUGCUGUAACCAGCUCAAAGGCUCCGUUGGCAUUACGAAAAUUAUAGAGGCAACAAUCAUAAUUCACAACAGAGCUAAAUCUAGGGGUGUGCAUCCGAUUUAUCGAUUCGAUUUUAACACUUAUCGAUAAUUACUUAUUGAUUAUCGAUUUGUACAUAUGCUUAUCGUUAUCGUUUCAAUAAGGUUUCGAUUUUUUCGAUUUCGAUUUAUCGAUUUUUGGGGCUUCACCAAUAAGAAAAUUUACGGGAUUCCAUAAAAAGUAUAUUGCUAUAAACGCGCCUUACUUAUAUGGACAAAAAGAAGCUAAAAUAAGACGAUCGCCAUUUAUAAUAUACAAAUUGUAUCAACAAGCACAUGCAACAAAACUGAAGUAAGGGAUCAAAUGUAUGCUACCAAUACUCCAACGGUAUAAAAAACAAACAAAACAAAAUAAAUCAUCACGACUAAUUUUGUUUUACAUUAAUUUGAACUUCAUUCCUUUGAUCUUUAAAUAUGAUCAUUCCUUAAAUGAGGUAGAGGAAAUAAUAGGGUAAGGGACUAUGGGUAAAGGAAAGGGUAUAGAUUAGGGAAAAUGAUAUUGUAUAGCCGCUUUCAAAAUAGUAGCGGAAUAUAUAUAUACAUUAUGUAUGUUAUAUUAAUCUACACAAAUAGGUAAUUACUCAUUUAACAAGUGACUACAGUCUAGGGUGUGCAUUCGNNNNNNNNNNNNNNNNNNNNNNNNNNNNNNNNNNNNNNNNNNNNNNNNNNNNNNNNNNNNNNNNNNNNNNNNNNNNNNNNNNNNNNNNNNNNNNNNNNNNNNNNNNNNNNNNNNNNNNNNNNNNNNNNNNNNNNNNNNNNNNNNNNNNNNNNNNNNNNNNNNNNNNNNNNNNNNNNNNNNNNNNNNNNNNNNNNNNNNNNNNNNNNNNNNNNNNNNNNNNNNNNNNNNNNNNNNNNNNNNNNNNNNNNNNNNNNNNUUUUUCUAUUUCGAUAACAAUAAUCGAUUCGAUUUAUCGAUAAAUCGAUUUGAAUGCACACCCCUAGCUAAAUCUGGUGAAGAUUUUCUCCCAAGUGUUUUUAUUUCAUUUUUUGGUUUUUGCAUUUUGCAUCUCUAACGGUUCGCUUAUAAUUUGCAGUCUAUUUUAUUUAUUUCACUGUAAACUUCAAUAUAUUGUUUACAUCUCUUAUAUAUACUUCAAUGUAUUUUUUGAACUGUACGGAAAAUAUAUAUUUGCACUUUAUAUUUCUACAACAACAAUAUAUCUUAUGCAGUUUAAACGUAAACCUUAACUUUUACUUGUGCAUAAAAAAAAAGCUCUUUUUAAGAGACCAUCUCUAAUCUCUUAUAAACUUGCAUUUAUUUGAAAUUCUCAUAGUGACUCCUGUUACAGCGUGGCCAACUGAUUUAAUUCCUUUUUGGAAUUCCGAAAGUGAUUUAACUUAUAAGCAUUAUAAUAUAAUAUAAAUUACUUUAACAUUAUCUGUUUGAUUUUAUCAGUUAUAACCAAUUAUUUAUCAUAGUUAAAAAUUAGUCCACCAAUUUAUGCCUAAUACAGAUAGUUACUUGUAAUUAUUAUUUGAGCAUUGAUAGUAAAUAUUGGGGGUUUAAAGAAAAUGACACGCGUAAUAAGUAGAGGAAGAAAGAAAAAAAGAGUGAAAAAUCCUAGGCAAACGCCAGGGUGGACGUUAGGGCUGAACAUAUACCGGGUAAACUUAAUAACCCAAAUCAUUAAUUAUUUAUUGGAUUAACGGUAUCGGAUUAUUAGGUUAGGUAAUGGUUUAAAAAAUUUUCACUAUUGAGUUAUCGAUUCGAGCUUCGAUUUGCCAAUUAUGUUAAUGGGUUAACCGAUAACCCAAUAAGAAUUAAUACGAAUUAAUAAAAUUACAGUCACACCUCCUUUUUGCGCGCCUACCCCGAGGGAUAGAAGUAGGGGUGUACAUGGGCCGGGUUGGUUCGGAUUUUGCAAUUACCAAAUCAAACCAAUUGUGCCGGAUUAUUAAAUCUAAAUACCAAACCAAACCAAUAAACUCGGGUUUUUCGCUCUUGGGUUUUCUCGGAUUUUCGGGUUAUUCGGGUUUUUUCUAAGCUUUUUCAAUAAAAUCUUCAUAGAACAAAAUAUAUAAACUAUGCUCAAAAUAUUUCUUUAAUCCUAGUAAGAUACAACUAUAUAAAAUAUUUUCCAAGAAAAAUAUACAAAAUAUGCUUAACGUCAUGACAUUAUCCUAAAAUAUUCAAUAACGAUGACAAUAAAAUUGUGUAAUAUUAAUAUUGCUAAUUAAAAAGCCAUAAUAAAAUAAAUAUAAUCUAAAAUACUAAGUCAUGCUAAAAUAAGUGGACUAAUAAGGGAAUAAUAAUUACAUGACUAAACGCUAAAGAAAAAAUAAAAAUAGGUUGUGCAUUGAUCUAAAUUAUUGCAAAAAAAUAGAUAUUCAAUACAUUCCCCUUCAUAGUAUUGAAUUGAAUGUCUUUCAUUAGCAUUAAUGUUGAUUUGAUUUUGGUUUUAAUUUGGCUUUUGUUCGCUUUAUUUAAUUUACUAAUGUUAAUGGCUAUAAAACUUAUUGGAACAUUCAAAAAGCUCUAAGUCAAACCUUGAAAUAAUACCUUAAAAGAUAAAAUUAUGUUGAUUUAGCUGAUAUGUCUCCAGAUGGCUAUGGAAGCCGAGAGUGUCACACCUCCUUUCUGUGCCCCACCCCGAAGGAUAGAAGCACAAGGGAGUUUUUCCAAUUUAAGUGAUAAUAUUCGAAAUGAGAUUAUUUAUUUAUUUCAUAGUCGCCACUUGGAAGUUUGACUUUUGGUGUCCCAAAUCACCGUUUUUCUUGAAUCUCAAUCCGAGGAAAAUUUUCGACUUCCCAAUUGGAGUCUGCGAACUAGAAAUUCUAAGCAAGAAAUUCUGUUGACCCGAGGGAAGGUGUUAGGCACCCCCAGAUCCCGUGGUUCUAGCACGGUCACNNNNNNNNNNNNNNNNNNNNNNNNNNNNNNNNNNNNNNNNNNNNNNNNNNNNNNNNNNNNNNNNNNNNNNNNNNNNNNNNNNNNNNNNNNNNNNNNNNNNNNNNNNNNNNNNNNNNNNNNUAAAUAACAACAACAACAACCCAGUAUAAUCCCACUUAGUGGGGUCUGUGGAGGGUAGUAUGUACGCAAACCUUACCCCUACCCUUAGGUAGAGAGAUUGUUUCCAAAUAGACCCCCGGCAUCCUUUCCUCCAAGAACUUCCCACCUUGUUCUUGGGGAGACUCGAACUCACAACCUCUCGGUCAGAAGUGGGGGUUGCUUAAAUUCAUGUUAUAAUUUAUGUUUAAAUUAAAACUAAAGCCAAAAGCGAAAGUUAAAUCUAAAGUUAAAGAAAAAGCAAAAAUUAAAGCAAAAGCAAAAGUUAAAAUUAAAGCAAAAGUGUAAGCAAAAAGGGUGUUAUUAUUUUUUGGGUAAAACCGUACAAUUAUGCUAAACGGCCCUCCCAAAGUUUAAUCAUUUUUAAUAACCAUUUAUUGAUGGCCCCAUAUUUAUUUAUUUUGUUCGGUAAGGCUCGUCCCAUUAUUUUAUAAAAGAAAGGCAACCUAAAACGGACUAUGAUUUUCUUUUUUUAUUUUUUUCUAAUAAUAAACAAAAAAACACCUAGUUAAUUAAUCAAUAUUUUAAGAAUUACUACGAAAGGUGACUACCGUGGAUGUUUUGGUUUUUAAACCAAAUCCAAACUGGCCAGAUAACUAACUCAGCACACUAGUCAAUGCCUUUAAUAAAAAGUAAGAACAAAGAACGACCAAACUAAUCCAACUCAAUCUCAGAACAUACGGCAAGACAAAAUUCACAUGUAAUCCUUACUCCAAUUUCUUUUUUUAUUUUUUAUAUAAAACCAACGAUUAGAUUCCAUGAUUACUCCAACACAAGCUAAUUUGUAAACAAAUGUUGUAAUUCAAUUUGAUCAACUGCGGAAAAUAGUCCUUCAAAUAGACUUGAGAAAACUAUUUUAUUAUUGACUAAUUUGGAUUUCAAAGCGAAGCAACAUUAAAAUCUUACGCUAAGAAAGCUAGUAAGGAGGAUACAUACCAACACAAUAUUCAAACGAAUUGAGCCAGAACUAUCAAACAUGAGCUUUCCCCAUUAUUAACUAUGAAUAUGACAGAAAUAACGCAAAUAACAGAGGAAGGAGAAAGAUGAACCUGGAAUAAUCUUUUGUCUAACAAAAUUCCAGCAACUAUACAAAUGAAGUUCACCGAAACUAUGACCAGACUUCGAAAUCGCGACAAAAAUCCAAACAAAAACCAGGAUCGGAAACCUUGGAUGCGAUAACCUCGACGGAGCCGCAAACCUGACCGGACAACCUCGAUCAGUAGCUAGAGAUGACGAACUGGAGCUUGGUCGUGGAGGAGAUGGAGAUGAAGAAGAGCUGCUGGUUCGAGAGGAAAGCUGGCUGGUUUAUGGCGGAGGUGAAGGAGAUUGUUCAUAGACUGUGUGGUUGCUUGGAGACGGAGGGGUCGACUCUGGGUUGAAGGACUGGUUGCCGGGCUGUUUAUCAGCGACGUGGGCUGUUUGGAAGCUGGCUGGACGUCGUUUGGACGUGGUCGUGCGACUGGACUGUUGGUUCGCUGGAGGUCGACGGAUGUUUGGUUCCGGCUGUAGCCCUACAUAAAAUAACUUCUAAAAAUAGUUCAAAAAUAACUUUUGUUAUUUAUAAGAAUUUUUCUUUAUCUAUUUGUAUUUCAUGCAUUUUUAACAUUUUUAAAUCUUAAAAAAAUUCUAAAAAAUUGGCACUUUUG
rnacentral:lncRNA from 1 species